CCUACGGGAGGCAGCAGUGAGGAAUAUUGGUCAAUGGACGAGAGUCUGAACCAGCCAAGUAGCGUGAAGGAUGACUGCCCUAUGGGUUGUAAACCUCUUUUAUAUGGGAAUAAAAUGUUCCACGUGUGGGCUUUUGUAUGUACCAUAUGAAUAAGGAUGGGCUAACUCCGUGCCAGCAGCCGCGGUAAUACGGAGGAUCCGAGCGUUAUCCGGAUUUAUUGGGUUUAAAGGGAGCGUAGGUGGAUUGUUAAGUCAGUUGUGAAAGUUUGCGGCUCAACCGUAAAAUUGCAGUUGAAACUGGCAGUCUUGAGUACAGUAGAGGUGGGCGGAAUUCGUGGUGUAGCGGUGAAAUGCUUAGAUAUCACGAAGAACUCCGAUUGCGAAGGCAGCUCACUGGACUGCAACUGACACUGAGGCUCGAAAGUGUGGGUAUCAAACAGGAUUAGAUACCCCAGUAGUC
rnacentral:rRNA from 1 species